rnacentral:rRNA from 1 species
GACGAACGCUGGCGGCGUGCCUAAUACAUGCGAGUUGAGCGAUGAAGAUUGGUGCUUGCACCAAUUUGAAGAGCAGCGAACGGGUGAGUAACGCGUGGGGAAUCUGCCUUUGAGCGGGGGACAACAUUUGGAAACGAAUGCUAAUACCGCAUAAUAACUUUAAACAUAAGUUUUAAGUUUGAAAGAUGCAAUUGCAUCACUCAAAGAUGAUCCCGCGUUGUAUUAGCUAGUUGGUGAGGUAAAGGCUCACCAAGGCGAUGAUACAUAGCCGACCUGAGAGGGUGAUCGGCCACAUUGGGACUGAGACACGGCCCAAACUCCUACGGGAGGCAGCAGUAGGGAAUCUUCGGCAAUGGACGAAAGUCUGACCGAGCAACGCCGCGUGAGUGAAGAAGGUUUUCGGAUCGUAAAACUCUGUUGGUAGAGAAGAACGUUGGUGAGAGUGGAAAGCUCAUCAAGUGACGGUAACUACCCAGAAAGGGACGGCUAACUACGUG